rnacentral:rRNA from 1 species
UGGGGAAUAUUGCACAAUGGGCGCAAGCCUGAUGCAGCCAUGCCGCGUGUAUGAAGAAGGCCUUCGGGUUGUAAAGUACUUUCAGUCGGGAGGAAGGUGUCAAGGUUAAUAACCUUGGCAAUUGACGUUACCGACAGAAGAAGCACCGGCUAACUCCGUGCCAGCAGCCGCGGUAAUACGGAGGGUGCAAGCGUUAAUCGGAAUUACUGGGCGUAAAGCGCACGCAGGCGGUUGAUUGAGUCAGAUGUGAAAUCCCCGGGCUUAACCCGGGAAUUGCAUCUGAUACUGGUCAGCUAGAGUCUUGUAGAGGGGGGUAGAAUUCAAUGUGUAGCGGUGAAAUGCGUAGAGAUGUGGAGGAAUACCGGUGGCGAAGGCGGCCCCCUGGACAAAGACUGACGCUCAGGUGCGAAAGCGUGGGGAGCAAACAGG